AUAUUUACCUGGUAGGGGAGAUACCAUGAUCACGAAGGUCAUUUUCCCAGGGCAAGGUUAUCCAUUGCACUCCGGAUGUGCUGACACCUGCAAUUUCCCCAAAUGUGGGAAACUUGACUGUAUAAUUUGUGGUAGUGGGGGGGUAGUGUGUUCAUGCUCUCCCCUG
rnacentral:snRNA from 1 species